rnacentral:rRNA from 1 species
GUGGGGAAUUUUGGACAAUGGGCGAAAGCCUGAUCCAGCCAUGCCGCGUGUGUGAAGAAGGUCUUCGGAUUGUAAAGCACUUUAAGUUGGGAGGAAGGGCAGUAAGUUAAUACCUUGCUGUUUUGACGUUACCGACAGAAUAAGCACCGGCUAACUUCGUGCCAGCAGCCGCGGUAAUACGAAGGGUGCAAGCGUUAAUCGGAAUUACUGGGCGUAAAGCGCGCGUAGGUGGUUUUGUAAGUUGGAGGUGAAAUCCCCGGGCUCAACCUGGGAACUGCCUCCAAAACUGCAUGACUAGAGUACGGUAGAGGGUAGUGGAAUUUCCUGUGUAGCGGUGAAAUGCGUAGAUAUAGGAAGGAACACCAGUGGCGAAGGCGACUACCUGGACUGAUACUGACACUGAGGUGCGAAAGCGUGGGGAGCAAACAGGAUUAGAUACCCUAGUAGUCC